ACUCAAAUGAAUAGACGGGGGCCCGCACAAGCAGCGGAGCGUGUGGUUUAAUUCGAGGGUACGCGAAGAACCUUACCUAGGUUUGACAUGUGAGUGGUACCGAGGCGAAAGCUGAGGGACUCUUCGGAGAGCUCGCACAGGUGCUGCAUGGUUGUCGUCAGCUCGUGCCGUGAGGUGUUCGGUUAAGUCCGCAAACGAGCGCAACCCUCGGCGUUAGUUACAAGUGUCUAACGCAACUGCCCGUGGCAAACGGGAGGAAGGUGGGGAUGACGUCAAAUCAGCAUGGCCUUUAUAUCUAGGGCUACACACACGCUACAAUGGCGCGUACAAUGGGUCGCGAAGCCGCGAGGUGGAGCCAAUCCCGAAAGCGCGUCUCAGUUCAGAUUGUAGGCUGCAACUCGCCUGCAUGAAGUCGGAGUUGCUAGUAACCGUGUAUCAGCACGGCACGGUGAAUACGUUCCCGGGCCUUGUACACACCGCCCGU
rnacentral:rRNA from 1 species